rnacentral:tRNA from 1 species
GCCCCCAUCGUCUAGUGGCCUAGGACGUCGCCCUCUCACGGCGAAAACAGGGGUUCGAGUCCCCUUGGGGGCGCCA